rnacentral:misc_RNA from 1 species
GAUGAAGAACGUAGCGAAAUGCGAUAAGUAAGGUGAAUUGCAGAAUUCAGUGAAUCAUCGAAUCUUUGAACGCACAUUGCGCCCCCUGGUAUUACGGGGGGCAUGCCUGUUCGAGCGUCAUUUCACCACUCAAGCCUCGCUUGGUAUUGGGCAACGCGGUCCGCCGCGUGCCUCAAAUCGACCGGCUGGGUCUUCUGUCCCCUAAGCGUUGUGGAAACUAUUCGCUAAAGGGUGUUCGGGAGGCUACGCCGUAAAACAACCCCAUUUCUAAGGUUGACCUCGGAUCAGGUAGGGAUACCCGCUGAACUUAAGCAUAUCAAUAAGCGGAGGA